rnacentral:lncRNA from 1 species
AUCCAGUCCUCGAUUAAUUCCCUCACUAGGCAGCUCUCUAACCACAACACCAUUAUACUAGGCCUUAGGCAGGAUCUUGCCAGUGCCAACAAGAAGAUCAAAGAAUUAGAGCGCCGCUAAGUUAUCUAGAUUAGACCUUGAGGCAAUGCAUCUUAGUCAUCUAUCUUUAAAUUCGGUUUAAGUUUGCUAUUAUUAGUUUGCUAUCAGUUUGCUAUCAGUCUUUUGUAAUAAAUGCCUCAAGAUUAAUAAAGAGUAUUAUUAUUAUUAUUAUUAUGUCUUGUGUGUCUCUACUUUAUUUUUGUGCAAGAAAGCAGAAAACAAGUAUGUGGGAGAUCCCUCGACAUGCCAAACACACUCCAACUACACCACUCCACGAUUCAGGUACACACUCUGCACACUUUACACAUACAUUUAUUUUGGAUUAUGCAGAUUAUUGUUCCCGACAUGAUAAGAUGAAAAGAUUAAAAAUAUUUCUAAUCAUGAUUAAUCUCAAUAUAUGAUAUUUCCUGAAAACUUGCAAUUAUUAUAAAAUCAUUUUAAACCUCUGUGUUACUUAAGUCAAUAUGGAAUGGUAGAGUAUGAGUUUCUUAUUCUUGAUAUCAUUGUUGCUUGGAGAAUUUAUUUCAAAAUAUUCAAAAUUCUAGCUACCAUCCUCAAUGUUUUAUACGCCUAAUAAAACUAAAAAUAUUAAUUAUGAUUAUAAAAGCUAUCUACUCUGUAUUGAGUUUGUUCAAAAUGAGUUAGACCCUUGUUGAGAGAUUUAUCAUGCUCCCAAGAUCAAGACAUUAUUUCAGUAAGAUUCACUCUUCCGAAGUAUUAUUGCAUUAGAGGCAUGGGCUAUGCAAAAAUAGAGAUAUUUCGAGGAAAUAAAAAGGAGCAAGUGCUCGACAACCUCGCAGAAAAAAUGGACAAGUGUCCGGCAGUAGAAUUAGGGGUACCUCGGUAUCCACUUAAAAAAAAGAGAGAAAAGAGAAAAAAAAUGAUAGCCCAUGGUCCCUCUAAUAAGCAAUAUGCCAGCAAGAGUUGACAAAGUUUUUAAUUUCCAAAGUCUUUGAUCUAAGAGUAUGACAUUCCCCUCCUCGGAUCCCGUUUUGAUCAGGCAAUAAAUGCAAAGUAAGAAUGCUUGAGAAUUUUUGCAAAAUAAAACAGCCUCAGUGAGAUAUAUAUAUAAAAAAGAUAAUGAGUGAUUUGAGAGAACCUAUGAGGAUCAAAAGGUAUGCUAACUUUCUUUCAAAAAUAUACAAAAACUCCAAGUGAUAGGAUUGAGAAGAAAGGAUCUUUAGUCUUAACCAUAUACUUCCCUGACUAUGGUACACAGUGGAAUUUUAACACCCUGCAAUUAUAUAAAGAAUGUUUUUAAAAUGUUUACCCCAGAUAUUUUUCUUAACCAUCCUUUUCUCGAGGACGAGUAAAAGCCUAAGUAUGGGGGUAUUUGUUGACGGUUCUUAAGUAUCAAUUUUAAUUAUCAAAUAAACAAGAGAAAGGACCAAUAUGCAACCAACACCUAGAAUUAGGGUUUGAUCUGACAGAAUUCCACGAGUUUUGUUGUUUAUCUGUUUCUGCAGGGGGUUAUCAGGAAAUAAGGAAGAAAGGCCCACAUGUCGGGAUUACAUAGAGAUAUCAACGCACCGCGCAAUUUUACACCAUCUAGAAGACUCCAGAAGCCACGAGACCGAAGCGGAGGUGAAACGGGGCCAGGCCCAGGGCGCCUGCCCUGAGGACCUGGGCACCCGCCCCCCUCUGGAGCCAGAUCAGGACUCUCUUCGCUCGGGAUAUUCCACUGACCU